rnacentral:rRNA from 1 species
AUUGAACGCUAGCGGGAUGCUUUACACAUGCAAGUAGAACGAGUGGCGGACGGGUGAGUAAUAUAUCGGAACGUGCCCAGUAGCGGGGGAUAACUGCUCGAAAGAGUGGCUAAUACCGCAUACUAUUGGAGCGGCCGAGAUCGGCUUAGCUAGUAGGUGGGGUAAAGGCUCACAAAGGAGACGAACCCUAGCUGGUCUGAGAGGAUGACCAGCCACACUGGAACUGCGACACGGUCCAGACUCCGACGGGAGGCAGCAGUGGGGAAUAGUGCACAAUGGGCGAAAGCCUGAUGCAGCAAUGCCGCGUGUAUGAAGAAGGCCUUCGGGUUGUAAAGUACUUUCAGCGGGGAGGCGUUACCCGCAGAAGAAGCACCGGCUAACUCCGUGCCAGCAGCCGCGGUAAUAC